rnacentral:rRNA from 1 species
CCUACGGGAGGCAGCAGCUAAGAAUCUUCCACAAUGGACGAAAGUCUGAUGGAGCGACGCCGCGUGGACGAUGAAGGCCGUGAGGUUGUAAGGUCCUUUUCUGAAGGGAGAAUAACGGGGACAGGGAAUGGUCCUCAGAUGACGUGAAUUCAGGAAUAAGCCCCGGCUAACUACGUGCCAGCAGCCGCGGUAAU